rnacentral:rRNA from 1 species
AUGGGCCCAUCCACCUCCUCGGCCGUCGACGCGGAUCUGACGCAUGUGUCCUCCCAGGAUCCAGCGUCAUCCGAGGUGCGCGUGAGGGCAGGUCGCGGCAGCGCCCUGGGAAGGUCGCGGGCAACCCCUUGGGCAGGUCGUGCACCACACCAGGCCGAGUGCCUGACACUGGCGGUGAGGAAGCAGAGCAAGGGCGUCGGCAGCUACCUCGUCAGCACCCGGUGGCACACGAACUUCUGGCUCCUCGCUUGA